rnacentral:rRNA from 1 species
UACGUAGGGUGCGAGCGUCGUCCGGAAUUAUUGGGCGUAAAGAGCUCGUAGGCGGUCUGUCGCGUCGAAUGUGAAAACCCGGGGCUCAACUCCGGGCUUGCAUUCGAUACGGGCAGGCUAGAGUUCGGUAGGGGAGUCUGGAAUUCCUGGUGUAGCGGUGAAAUGCGCAGAUAUCAGGAGGAACACCGGUGGCGAAGGCGGGUCUCUGGGCCGAUACUGACACUGAGGAGCGAAAGCGUGGGGGGCGAACAGG